AGUAUUCAAUUGUGAGAGGUGAAAUUCUUGGAUUUAUUGAAGACUAACUUCUGCGAAAGCAUUUGUCAAGGAAUGUUUUCAUUAAUCAAGAACGAAAGUUAGGGGAUCGAAGACGAUCAGAUACCGUCGUAGUCUUAACCAUAAACUAUGCCGACUAAGGAUCGGAUGGUGUUAUAUUUUAUAUUGACCCAUUCGGCAUUUCAGCGAAAGCCAAGUUUUUGGGUUCCGGGGGGAGUAUGGUCGCAAGGCUGAAACUUAAAGGAAUUGACGGAAGGGCACCACCAGGAGUGGAGCCUGCGGCUUAAUUUGACUCAACACGGGGAAACUCACCAGGUCCAGACAUAGUAAGGAUUGACAGAUUGAGAGCUCUUUCUUGAUUCUAUGGGUGGUGGUGCAUGGCCGUUUCUUAGUUUCGUGGAGUGAAUUUGUUCCUGGUUAAUUCCGAUAACGAACGAGACCUUACUCUGCUAAAUAGGCCCAGCAUGACUUUGGUCCGUGUCUUUUUUGGCUUUCUUAGAGAGACUAUCAAUGUUUAAUUGAUGGAAGUUUGAGGCAAUAACAGGUCCUGUGAUGCCCUUAGAUGUUUCUGGGCCGCACGCGCGCUA
rnacentral:rRNA from 2 species